rnacentral:misc_RNA from 1 species
GUACUGAUUGCGUGUGACCGCAAAAACAAACAUUCUAGACUGUAUCAAGUUUUAUGUGAAAACGCGAGCCCUCCCGCAAAGGGGGGGACCCACGCGGUGAUGCACAAUGGGUGAGAUGGAUUGUGUGAGAGCGCUCGGGCGUGCACGACCUUUGAAGGUCAGCGACAGCCCUCGCACCUCGGUUGUACGAUAAUGAUCCUUCCGCAGGUUCACCUACGGAAA